GUACGCCUCCUCGUUCUCCUAGCCCUUUGCUGGUAAACUACGAUGGAUGAGGCGAGAUCAUCGAUCUGCACAGUGCCGUUGACCCGUUGUAAUUGGUGUCCGUGUAGUUGAUUUGGUCAUGGAUUUCAUCUCCCGUAGGCCGCACCCCUCUUAGAUCCAGCUUGGGUGUGAGGAUGGUGGCGAGGUUCUCUUCCCCAAGCGCGCAAGCAAGAGCGUUGUCGCUCUUUCCACUCGAGGCAGCUCGGGACAUGGUCCUCAUCCUCCACAGCGACAACAUUCUUCGAAGGUCGACCUGCAGGUCCCCAUUUUUCGUUUUCCCAACUCUGUCAUAUUUCCCCCUUUUUGUUGAGUUACUUGCCCUACAUAAACAUAAAUCCUAAUUAGUAGAAGUAAGAUAUUGUUUCAUCUCCGGCAGAAGCACUUUAUUUCUCCUUGUGGGAAUGGAAAAAUAUUUUUUGCUUUAGCCACAGUGCAUGCAUACGUGUUAUACUUAGCUAUAGAUAGACCAAAAUGUAACAUGUUUUUGUGAUUUCAUAGAGCAAUUAAAAUUAGCCGCACUCAAAGAUAUGGAAAUUCAUGGGCGUCCGAACUUUAUAACCACUUUUUUUACGGUAAAAUGUGUGAGAUACUCCCUCCGUUUUUAUUUAGUCCGCAUAUUAGCUUUGGUCAAAGUCAAGCUUUGUGAACUUUGACUAAGUUCAUAAACAAAAAUAUUAACAUAUACAAUAAAAAAUCAAUACCACUAGAUUCAUUAUUGAAUGUACUUUCACAUCAUAUAGAUUUGUUAUGGUAAAUGUUUAUAUAUUUUUCUAUAAACUUGGUCAAACUUUGCAAAGUUUGACUUUGGUCAAACCUAAUAUGCAGACUAAAUAAAAACGGAGGGAGUACAACUUUACUACAUCAAAACCACCGAGUUAAUGAAGGUAAGUUUUCAUGCUUUGAAAUAUUUGAGCUGCACAUAGAUAGCAGAACUGAUGUGCAAAGCAUAAGCAAGGUACAUAAUGCUGCUUCCUGUAUACUGUAAUACCAGUUGUGCAUUCUUAAAAUUUAGAAAUUGAACUGAGAACUGUAAUUAAAUCAAAUGGAUGAUAACCUGCAUAAGGGUGAAACUUUGUGGAGAUUUUCUUACUUCGCAUGGAUCAAAGUUUCUCCUUUGUGUGUAGCCGCGAAGUCUGGCACAUCUCCAUUUAUGAUUGGAGGUUGUAUCUUUUUCUUGUCUUGAAGUUUCAUUCUCCUUCCAAUCUUGCCAUUUUUGUUGAUUGUCUCGACUUGCAUCAAUAAGAUAACAAUUUAAAAUACGUUUUAUCGUUGAAGCUAAAAUUAAUUAGGAACCUCCAACGCCUAACUGGAACUGUUGCAUUUUUUGUUUUAAUUUUGUUGUGAUAGCACACACAAAAUAUUCAUCAUUAGUAACGGAUCACCUUGUUGGAUUACAUAUAUGUUUUGUUUUAACCAUCUUGGCAGGUUUCUAACCUUCCUUGUUAUGUGGCCCAUCUUUUCUUUUCAUUGUUGAUUCCUGCACAUUAGAGAGUGCAAAUAUAAAGCUAAAGCUCUCUUUUCAAUCCAAUGAAAUGCAAGCUCUUUUGCGUUUUCUUGAAAAAAUCAAAUAAAGCUAAAGUGGAUGGUAUUAUAAUAUUAUUACAGACAGUGGUGGACCUAGAGAUCGUGCUUUGCUGUGGCGAUGGACGACGAUAAAUAUCAUGGCGGUGCUCCCGCUGGUCAUUGGACAGGGGAGUACCCUUCUCGGCCGCUUGAGACCUUGACCAGCUGCCCCGCUUGAUGGUGGGUGUGCUACUAUUACAUAUUAAUGCUCAAGUUUAUGAAUAUUCAUUAUUUUUAUUACUUUUCACCCUAUAAAUAAUUUUUUGGUCGUACAAGUAAAGGAGAUCAAUUUUCGAGACCAGUGUUUUGCAGAAAUCUUUAAUGAUAAAGAGGAACUUCAGUUUCAAUCAUCAUGUGAAUACACAAAUAUCAUGAGUAUUUUUUAGUAGAAGCCGACCGAAGCAAUCUCUAC
rnacentral:lncRNA from 1 species